rnacentral:rRNA from 1 species
CGGACGAACGCUGGCGGCGUGCCUAACACAUGCAAGUCGAGCGGAGAUAUAUGGAAGGUUUACCGGAAAUAUAUCUUAGCGGCGGACGGGUGAGUAACGCGUGGGCAACCUGCCUCAUACAGGGGGAUAACACAGGGAAACUUGUGCUAAUACCGCAUGAAAUCAUAGUAUGGCAUCAUACAAUGAUCAAAGGAGCAAUCCGGUAUGAGAUGGGCCCGCGUCCGAUUAGCUAGUUGGUGAGGUAACGGCUCACCAAGGCGACGAUCGGUAGCCGAACUGAGAGGUUGAUCGGCCACAUUGGGACUGAGACACGGCCCAGACUCCUACGGGAGGCAGCAGUGGGGAAUAUUGCGCAAUGGGGGAAACCCUGACGCAGCAACGCCGCGUGAAGGAAGAAGGCCUUCGGGUUGUAAACUUCUUUGAUAGGGGACGAUAAUGACGGUACCCUAAAAACAAGCCACGGCUAACUACGUG